CACAGGCACUGUGUUGACUCUAGAGAACCUUGGGCUAAUCGCGCGUCCCUGUGAUGGUGACUUUGCAUUCGGAUGUCAUCCAUAUCAACUUUCGAUGCCAGUUUCUGCGCCUACCAUGGUGACCACGGGUAACGGGGAAUCAGGCUUGGAUUACUGAGAGGGAAUCUGAGAAACGGCUACCACAUGCAAGGAAGGCAGCAGGUGCGCAAAUGACCCACUUGCGACGCGGAAAGGUAGUGACG